rnacentral:pre_miRNA from 1 species
UUCUGCUUUUGGUGUUGAUGAUAGUUUCUCGAAGGGAGUUACUUGAAAUACUUGAAAUUAUUUAUUUUUAAACUAUUGUAAGUAACUCCCUUCGAGAAACUGUCAUCAUCCCCAAAA